rnacentral:rRNA from 1 species
UGGGGAAUAUUGCACAAUGGGGGGAAACCCGUGAUGCAGCGACGCCGCGUGAAGGAAGAAGUAUCUCGGUAUGUAAACUUCUAUCAGCAGGGAAGAUAGUGACGGUACCUGACUAAGAAGCCCCGGCUAACUACGUGCC